GCUCGAGGAAGACGUGAGUUCAAAUCUGCGCGUGACAUAAUAGUAAACACAGUUGACCUAUAUAUACACCUUCGCUAAAAUAUCUGGUUUUUCCGCUUCGUUCGUUCUGCCGUACAUGUUGACUGUAUGGAUUGACCCACAACUGGGACUUAUAUAAUACUGCUGUUUGAAAUCGGGCGAACAGGUAACGAUACAUUAUUAGAUUUAUAUGCCGUGGCUUACAUCAUACCCUUUGGUAUCUGGGUUAAAUGCAAAAUCCUUUGAACGCUGACCUAUUUUGUCUAUAUUUAGCCAGUCCGUUUCAGAAAUUCCAACAUCGAUGACUAAAAAGGGGCGCUGUCUCUCAAAUCAGCCAAUAAAACUUGAGAAUUGAUUUUUACCGUUUCACUGUGUGAGCAGACGACAAACGGACUGCACGCGCCGAGCAGACGACACAUGCCGUGAAUAAUCUGUCGCUAACUGUGAAAUUUAUUAACAUCUGAGUUGAAUUGGCGAUUCUUCUUCAGACUGAGCGUUCGAGUGUGAAUAAUUAUAGUAUGGCUGUUGACUGGAAUGGACUAGCAGGUUUUGUUGGGGCGUCCGCCGUUGGCGACGAAGAGACGCGGGAUAUGGGAGUUAAACUUCGCCACAUUGGGGAUGAACUGUACGUCCGAUACCUGCCUGUGGAUCAGUUGAUCGAGAGGAUAGUAGAACACGUGUUGAAUCACAUUGGGUGGAGGAAUCAAGUGUUUCAACUGAUAGCUAGGAUACCUGUGUUCAGGUGAACGCGUCUCUGAUCACAUCUAGAUGAAGGAAAUUCGUCUCAACCCAGGCAUACAGUUUGGUUCCAGAUCUCAACUCGAGGAGAUAAUAUGUCUCAACUCCAAAAGCUUGCUGCUGUGUAUGGAGUAACGCUUCCACGCUGUCAAAUCAACAAAUGAGAGAAAUUAUUCCAUCGGACCCGGUUGAAAGAACAAA